CGGUUGUGGUGGGUUGUCUCAGCAGCUGCUGCUCCAGGUCUGGCUCCGCCUCGUCUCCACCCGCGCCGCGCAGGCGAGCACCCCGCCGGGCGGAGGGGCCCUUACAGGGACGGGGGAAGCAAUGGGCGACGGCCAGCGGCCCUCUCAGGUGUCAGGGUCUGUCCUGAGCCCUGGUUCCUGAGCCGGGCCUUGUGUGGGUCGGGGGGCCCGUGUUAGGCUGGAGCCGCACGCCUGGUACUAUAAACGUGGGGAAAGCGAGGAGUAAAGGGCUUUGGUACCCCAUUUUCUUCAGGAUUCCAGGCUUUCGUCUCUGUUUACUGGGGGAAAUCAAGCAACAGUCAGGUUGGAGGGGCUUUGAGCAACCUGGUCUAGUGGAAGGUGUCCCUGCCCAUGGCAGGGGGUUCGAACUGGGUGAGCUUUAAGGUCCCUUCCAGCCCAAACCGUUCUGUGAUUCUGUAACUCAUCACUGCAAGCACUAACAGACUAUAUAUGCUGUAUGCAUGUUACAACAUUCUGCACUUCCCAGUUUCAAACCAUUUUUCAAUUCAUUAAGAAUAUCCCAAAAUUCAGUACUUCCCCAGAAAAAAAAAAAAAAAAAAAAAGAAAACCCAUAUUAUCAAUUCCAGCUGGGAGUGUGUGUAAUCCAAUAGACAUAAUAUGUAUUCCAGCAUCCAACCCAUUAAUGAACAUACUGACUACUAAAGAAAUUAAGACAUUUUCACUCAAAAGUCUAUUUAAAGCAUCCUUCUAUGGUGAUAGUAAACCGUUAAAACCUAGAGGGGGAUGUAUCUCAUCUAACUUUAGAUAACUGAUCAGAAACCAUAAAUCACCACUUUAUAUAAAUUACCUUUAUAGUCAACACAGAGAAAUGAGCACUUUCAGAGCCUGAUUCGUCUGGUGUAUUUCAAACAUCAACAUGGCCAGAUAAAUCUUCCCCACUUGAUAUGCUUUCCAAAUGAGUUUUGGACCCCUCCUAAUACUUUUAUGUGGACAGUGUUCCCCUCCCAUACUUAAGAGUGAUGUUACAAAAUGGAACCAAAAGGCUUACUGAAAUAAAAAUACAGGACACUUACUCUUUGCCUCCUACCUAUAAGGCAGGUCACACUUUUCCAAUAGAAAGAUUUCUUUCUUUCUAAUUAUUAUUGAAACUAUUAAUCUGCCUAGUAAGUAUUUUAAUGCUAUUAUUUAUCCAGUAUUUUGGGGGGAGUUGAAGUGAAAUUUAAAAAAAUUCUUAAUUUCCUUCUUGUCCUUUUUCAUGGAAGGAGCUUCAUCCUUCUGUCUUCUGGUCUUCUGGAUCUCCACAGGGCAUCUACCCCUUUUACCUCCAGCUAGUUUUGUUGGCUUCAAAAUGACCACUCCCAGGAGGAAAGACUACUCACAUGAAUCACAAAUUAUUCCAGUUAAUUAUCUUCUAAAUAAGAACUUGAAUUAAAUUAAUGAACAUAUUUUUCAAGUCC